GUCGAACGGCUGCGCGCCGCUUCGGCCUGUCGGCGAGUGGCGAACGGGUGAGUAAUACAUCGGAACGUGCCCUGUCGUGGGGGAUAACUAGUCGAAAGAUUAGCUAAUACCGCAUACGACCUGAGGGUGAAAGCGGGGGACCGCAAGGCCUCGCGCGAUAGGAGCGGCCGAUGUCUGAUUAGCUAGUUGGUGGGGUAUAGGCUACCCAAGGCGACUAUCAGUAGCUGGUCUGAGAGGACGAUCAGCCACACUGGAACUGAGACACGGCCCAGACUCCUACGGGAGGCAGCAGUGGGAAUUUUGACAAUGGGGGCACCCUGAUCCAGCAAUGCCGCGUGUGUGAAGAAGGCCUUCGGGUUGUAAAGCACUUUUGUCCGGAAAGAAAUGGCCCUGGCUAAUACCCGGGGUCGAUGACGGUACCGGAAGAAUAAGCACCGGCUAACUACGUGCCAGCAGCCGCGGUAAUACGUAGGGUGCGAGCGUUAAUCGGAAUUACUGGGCGUAAAGCGUGCGCAGGCGGUUUGAUAAGACAGGCGUGAAAUCCCCGGGCUCAACCUGGGAAUGGCGCUUGUGACUGUCAGGCUAGAGUGCGUCAGAGGGGGGUAGAAUUCCACGUGUAGCAGUGAAAUGCGUAGAGAUGUGGAGGAAUACCGAUGGCGAAGGCAGCCCCCUGGGACGUGACUGACGCUCAUGCACGAAAGCGUGGGGAGCAACAGGAUUAGAUACCCUGGUAGUCACCGCCCUAACGAUGUCACUAGUUGUUGGGGAUCAUUUCUUCAGUAACGUAGCUAACGCGUGAAGUUGACCGCCUGGGGAGUACGGUCGCAAGAUUAAAACUCAAAGGAAUUGACGGGGACCCGCACAAGCGGUGGAUGAUGUGGAUUAAUUCGAUGCAACGCGAAAAACCUUACCUACCCUUGACAUGCCACUAACGAAGCAGAGAUGCAUUAGGUGCCCGAAAGGGAAAAGUGGACACAGGUGCUGCAUGGCUGUCGUCAGCUCGUGUCGUGAGAUGUUGGGUUAAGUCCCGCAACGAGCGCAACCCUUGUCUCUAGUUGCUACGCAAGAGCACUCUAGAGAGACUGCCGGUGACAAACCGGAGGAAGGUGGGGAUGACGUCAAGUCCUCAUGGCCCUUAUGGGUAGGGCUUCACACGUCAUACAAUGGUGCGUACAGAGGGUUGCCAACCCGCGAGGGGGAGCUAAUCCCAGAAAACGCAUCGUAGUCCGGAUCGUAGUCUGCAACUCGACUACGUGAAGCUGGAAUC
rnacentral:rRNA from 1 species